GCAUGCUUGGGGGCAACAGAAUGCUGACAACUAACUCUCGCUCGCUGACUCUCGGCACCCGCGCGCCUGAUCUCCUGCUCUACGCCGGCAAGCGAGUGGGCGUGAGUCCCUGCGGACAGCAUAUUUAAUACCUUCCUUUGUGUACUCCAUUCAUUCACGUCCGCACGCAUUCCUCGCGACACGGUGGUGCGACGAGAUCGGGGGGACGACGGGGCCUGUCCCCUCGCUGCCCAGUGGCGGCGCGCUCUUUGCUCUGCCUGUGAGUGCGCCUUCCUGUUGCCAUAUGGGCCGCGGAUGGGCGACAGUGACCGCACGGCCCCUUGUCUCCCGUUGUGUCUUCUGUCCAUGCGUCCAGAAGGUAGGUCUCGCCCCCGGGCCCCCCUGCAUGUCCCCACCCGGUGGCACCGUACGCUGGAAGGACGUGUAGGGCCGCACUUUCGCCAGUGCGCACGCACAGGCGUAUGCGCGUGUCUGUGCUCUUGUACGGCAGAUGCGCUCGACUCCUACUGGCAUGGGCUCGGUGUAGGCGGUCGGACCGCCUACACUCGCCGGACGUCGGAUUGACUGAGGUGGAUGGGCCGACUCGCCCAUAGCGUCGGCGUAACUCCGUUUCCUUUCGCCAUCUCUCUCUCACGCUGGCAAAGGGACGGAGGCAUUAACGUCUCAUGUGAAUCAACAGUAAUGCAUGACUGAAAUGGAAGGAACGCACACAGGAAUUGCAUCAUCAUCAGCGUCUGAGUGAUCGUAUCUAGCGCAUCUCUCAUAUCCCCUCUCCCUCUCACUCUCACGGUCCGUUCCCAAGCACAGUCGACUUAUCUUCGCAUCGGAGACGAGGUGUGAGCAAAGUCGUAGUCGCGUGCCCGCCGGCCCACAUGCACACACGCACACGUACAUACGUGCAUAUGCAUGCAUAUAUAGAUAUGCAUAUAUAGUUAUAUGUGGUUUAUGCACCCUCGCGUUAGGAGAAAUAGUACGUGGAAAGGUGAGGGGAUGGCGAGGGAGAAGGCAGGAUAGCGAAGAGGCGUAAGAGGCAGAGACAGAGAGAGAGCACAAUAAGGGCCUGCCCUCAACGUUUGUGUGUCUGUGCGUGUGGGUGUAUGGACGCAUAGGCGCGUUGACGCCUUGCUUCCCUCUGACACACUCACGCACCGCGUCUGAACGAGCCGACCGCGAAUGGGCC
rnacentral:misc_RNA from 1 species